AUACGUAGGGGGCGAGCGUUGUCCGGAAUGAUUGGGCGUAAAGGGCGCGUAGGCGGCCCGGUAAGUCUGGAGUGAAAGUCCUGUUUUUAAGAUGGGAAUUGCUUUGGAUACUGUCGGGCUUGAGUGCAGGAGAGGUAAGUGGAAUUCCCAGUGUAGCGGUGAAAUGCGUAGAGAUUGGGAGGAACACCAGUGGCGAAGGCGACUUACUGGACUGUAACUGACGCUGAGGCGCGAAAGUGUGGGGAGCAAACAGGAUUAGAUACCCUGGUAGUCCACACUGUAAACGAUGAAUGCUAGGUGUAGGGGGUAUCGACCCCUUCUGUGCCGCAGUCAACACAAUAAGCAUUCCGCCUGGGGAGUAAGGCCGCAAGGUUGAAACUCAAAGGAAUUGACGGGG
rnacentral:rRNA from 1 species